rnacentral:lncRNA from 1 species
CCCACACAGCAGGAGUCUGCCCCUUUCUGAACCCCAAACCCACAAGGCCGCCAGCCCUUUGAGCCCAAGCCCAAUCGGCUGCAGGUCCUAUUUCAGACCCGAUCCAGCACCUCUUUUCAGCCCAGUACAGAAGUCCGAGAGCCCUUGUGCUACAGAUCCAGGCCCAUCGCUCCAGCUAGCUCCACCCGACGCAAAUUUCGUGUUCGAGAAUCUACAACGGACGCUUCCGGUCGACUGCAUCCGCCACAGGUAAUAGGUUCUCCUUUCUUCUGGACUUGUUUAUCUAAUUAUGUUCUAGUUCUCUUGCAUGACAGUCCUAUUUUGAAACUUAUUU